GGGCCUGUGGCGGAAUCGGCAGACGCAGUGGACUUAAAAUCCGCGGCCCCGCAAGGGGCGUGAGGGUUCGAGUCCCUCCAGGCCCA
rnacentral:tRNA from 1 species